rnacentral:rRNA from 1 species
GAUGAACGCUGACAGAAUGCUUAACACAUGCAAGUCUACUUGAACUUCGGUUUGGGUGGCGGACGGGUGAGUAACGCGUAAAGAACUUGCCUCACAGUUAGGGACAACAUUUGGAAACGAAUGCUAAUACCUGAUAUUAUGAUUUUAGGGCAUCCUAAAAUUAUGAAAGCUAUCUGCGCUGUGAGAGAGCUUUUCGUCCCAUUCGCUAGUUGGAGAGGUAACGGCUCACCAAGGCGAUGAUGGGUAGCCGGCCUGAGAGGGUGAACGGCCACAAGGGGACUGAGACACGGCCCUUACUCCUACGGGAGGAAGAAGUGGGGAAUAUUGGACAAUGGACCAAAAGUCUGAUCCAGCAAUUCUGUGUGCACGAUGACGUUUUUCGGAAUGUAAAGUGCUUUCAGUUGGGAAGAAAAAAAUGACGGUACCAACAGAAGAAGUGACGGCUAAAUACGUG